UACGUAGGGUGCGAGCGUUCAUCGGAAUUACUGGGCGUAAAGCGUGCGCAGGCGGUUGUGCAAGACAGAUGUGAAAUCCCCGGGCUUAACCUGGGAACUGCAUUUGUGACUGCACGGCUAGAGUGUGUCAGAGGGGGGUAGAAUUCCACGUGUAGCAGUGAAAUGCGUAGAUAUGUGGAGGAAUACCGAUGGCGAAGGCAGCCCCCUGGGAUAACACUGACGCUCAUGCACGAAAGCGUGGGGAGCAAACAGG
rnacentral:rRNA from 1 species